rnacentral:RNase_P_RNA from 1 species
UGAGAAAUUCAGGUGAUCGCUGGUUCCGUUAGUUCGGGACGAGAGGAAAGUCCGGGCUCCGCAGGGCAGGAUGCUCCCUAACGGGGAGUGGGGGCGACCCUAAGGAAAGUGCCACAGAGAAGAGACUGCCUGUCAGUUUAUCUGGCAGGUAACGGUGAAAAGGUGAGGUAAGAGCUCACCAGUUCCGUGGGUGACCACGGAAGCUUGGUAAACCCCAUCCGGAGCAAGACCAAAUAGGUAGGCGUUUAAGGGCUGCCCGUCCAAGGCCUACGGGUUGGUUGCUAGAGGUGGCGGGCAACCGUCAUCGUAGAGGAAUGAUCAUCGCCCCUUUUGGGGAGACAGAACCCGGCUUAUGAAUUUCUCAUCUU